rnacentral:rRNA from 1 species
UACAGAGGUGGCAAGCGUUGUUCGGAAUUACUGGGCGUAAAGGGCGCGUAGGCGGUUCGUUAAGUCCUGUGUGAAAUCCCCCGGCUCAACUGGGGAACUGCACAGGAAACUAGCGGGCUUGAGUUCGGGAGAGGGAAGCGGAAUUCCGAGUGUAGCGGUGAAAUGCGUAGAUAUCCGGAGGAACACCGGUGGCGAAGGCGGCUUCCUGGACCGACACUGACGCUGAGGCGCGAAAGCUAGGGGAGCAAACGGG